AUUCAGAUUGGAGCCCAAAUCUCAUCCUGUAGUGCAUUUAAACUCAAUUUUUUUUAAAAUCUAGAAUGGAAUAGUUAUUAAAUGUUAGAAGGUUUUCUUUCAGGGAAUAUCAUUUAAAUGUUGAAUUAAAUAAAUAGUGUGAGUUGAUUCAGCAUUUGGCUGCCACUGUUUUUGAAGCUUUCUAAACUAUAACUUUGCCUAAACUUAACUUUAAAGUUACCAACAGUACAACACCAAGUUUUGAGUGGUGUGGAUUGGUUUAAAUGCAAAUCUUGAUUUAAUUCAGAUCCUCUGCCCGAAGGAUAGGUGUAUUUUAUUAGAAAACCUUUGCCUUUUGCAUAUAUUGGUGAAGUUUCUAUCUUGUAGCAAGUGGCUGCCAUUUCAAUUUACAGCUUUGAGUGCACUGUUGUUCUUUUUAAGUCACACACACCAAUGAAUUACUGGCAAAACUUUGGCAUGGUGCUCAGUUUAGGCUAAGCUGGAGUUAAGUACGGCAUAAAACAGCAACAUCAAAAACACAACUGAGGAAGUGUGAAGUAAGAAAGAGAGGCAGAGGAAGAAAGCUGUAGUAUUUAAUUCACCCAACACUUCUUAAUUGGAUUUUGCUUUGAAGUCCGAUACCAGUCACCAAGGGGAGGAAAAUGAAGAGCCUUUCUUAAGGGAGAUUUGUUUUAUAGCUGGUUUAAUGUUCCACAUUUGCCUGUUAACUGGAGACUGGGAUUCAAAUUUCUUUUACAGAGGUGGUUUUAUACUCUUUAUGCAUAUUUUAAAUGCAAAUAAUUAUGUUGUUGACAAUAAAAUAUGGGCAAAGUUUCAAACUGUGAGGUAAACAUUCAUUGGAAUAAUCCCAGGAUGAGACUAUAGGCUGCUCUGUUAAAAAAGUCACAUUAAAAAUUCAGUGAGAGGGACACAAGAGUGACAGUGUGGACCCGCUGCACGCAGCUAAACCACCCACUUCUGCUGCUCCGUUUAUAACCUUGAAUUAAGGAGUCUAUUUAAACAAACCAGCCCCGAAAAUUUAUUCACUUUACAUCACACUACCACCUUCUUUAACAUGCCUGAUUUUGACAUAAUGAGGAGGAAAAAUGUUAAAUACCCUGCUGCCAGGUAUCCCAGAAUAGUUUGUGCACAAUUAGAAGGAAAGCAUUUGCACAUGCUCUUCACUGGAUAGGAAGAGCAUGUGCAAAUGCUUGUUCCAUCAUUGAUUGAGGAAUCCCUAUAAAAUUAAUAAUCUUAAUAUUUCCCCAGACUGAAAGAAUUUGCUUGUUCUUUGUCACUGGUGUUUUCUUUCCAAUUUACAAGUUGGAUUUAGAGUCCAAAUCAUAAGGACAUUUUGAUUAAAAAUGUGAUAUUUUUUGUAGAGAAACACUUGAAUUACUUUGUUGCAUGGCAACAGAUAAGAGCUGGCCAAACUGGAAAAAAAAAACUGGGAUAAACUGUUUUUUCAAGUGUUACUCAAAGCUACUACAAAGAGGGACAAUACAAAGCAUAAUGAGUCUAAUACCCUUUCUCUAAACAAAUGAAUGCCUUGAUUUGAUUUUUCUUUUCUUUUUCUAGCUGCUGAGGUGGAAAAAAAUAAGUUAUGCAGCAGAAAGAAAUACAAUCCGUCAACUAGAUUUCAUUGGAGAUAAACUGAACUGUAUGUCAGCACUUGAAUUUGUAUAUUCUCAAAAUCCCACACUCCUUUAAUCUACUUGAAGGAAUGUUUGGCAGGAUAUUAAUCUAUCUGGGGAAAGUAAGGCAUUCUUAAAACAUGUUUUUUUUUUCCAAGAUGUGUUCCGUGUCAGUUCAUGCUUUUAUUCUGUCUCAGUGGAUUACCAAACACUGAAAUCCCUCAAUUCUAAAAACAGCAAAUGACAUAAACAAACCUCACAUUUUUUAAUACAGUGCUUAUGGCAUAGUGACAAAGAAAAAAAACCCAGUUCUUUUAUUGUUUUUAUUCCUGUUGAACACGCUGAUUUAGAGAAGAAAACGAGUCAAAGUAAAUGUCUGCUGAGUUUUGUCUCUCAGUCUUACUCUUUUUCUUCUUGAGAUGAUGAGACUAAACUGCAUUGUUGCCUGUUUUGGUGAAACAAAGCACCUUCAGUAGGAGUUUGAUGCAGAUGUACACAUUGUUUGGUUUUCAAUGCCAGACAUACCUAGAGGACUGACUGAGAGAAAAACAGCCCAUUAGUCCCAAACUGCAUCCUCAUUUUGAACCAACAUCCAAUUUUGAGUGGAAGCAAACUAACAGCGAGGAACUGUUUGUCAUUGCCAAUCAAACCAUUGCUUUUCCUCCCCUUAAAGUCCCUUUCAAUCCGUGCUGGCUCAUUUUUGGAGAUAAAAAAUAGUCUGGUUCCUGCCACAGAAAUGUCUGCAGAGUGAAAUCCGAUGCCCUUGCAUGGGAAGUUAAGAACUGCCAAGAGGGAAUUUGUAGUGCUUUAAAUUAAAUCAGCUUUGGGAGAGAUAACACAUUUGGUUACUGUCACGUACAACUAGGGAAACAGGAACACAGGAAGAAGGACCCAAAAGGCAGAGUGUGACAGCUGAGCCAUUGCAGCUCAAAUCCUUCAUCAAAGACACAAAAGGCAAUAACAUGAGGCUUAGGCUAUAUGAAGAGGGCAAGGGUUGAGACCCGGAGUCCAAUACAGACAAACAAAUCCAAAGGGAAAAAAGGCAGAAAGUCAAAAGCUCUGAAAUGCACAAGGUUCAGGGAGGUCCAUAAACACACCAGGGUGACUCACUGCGCAAGGCUUGUACACUUGGCAAAAGUUUAACUGGAUAACCAGAAAAACACACAGUGGUGGUACAGUGGGGAGAUGAAGGGAAUAAGCCAAUGAAGACACAAUCCCAGGAGCAGGAAAGACAAGAGAAAAGUGGGGGGUGCUUCAUAAUUCUCAGUUCAUAUAUCCACAGUACGGGCUCCUCCAGAACCACUGCCCUCUUGUUACACACUUCCACUUAAACGGAUGGUAGACCACUAAAACCACAAACUAUGAGGCUGAUUCUGCACCAGUGCUGACAUCUCCAGAAUGUGGAGUGUCAUGUUGUUUCAUCAUGGUUAGAUCCCAGCACUAAAGUUCUAUGUCACUAGAACUUAAGUCCCUGUCACACAUGCAGAAAAGAGGUCAUGUUGAACUGCUGUGUGAUUGAGGCAGGUAGAAGUCCAGAAAAUUCAGUAGGAAAAGUGAUGAUGUUUGUGCUGAGCUGAGUUUCUUUGCUCUGCACUCUUUAUUUCUCAACUUCUUUGUCAGCAUUAUGCUAUAUUACAUUUUUCUACUGUUUCAACCUACACACACCAUAAACCAACAACAUAUUUAACAUCAGCACCUGUAUACAUUAUAAUUAUCUGGAGUUCAUGAAUAAAAAAGGGCCAAAGAAACAUUCAGCAGUUUGCAGCAGUGGUGUAUUUUGGUUGUUUCAGGGGAAGGGCCAAAGCACCAGCUGUAUGCUGAGAGGCAUCAGAGUGUGGAAAAUUGUGAUUAAUAAACUGCUUGAGCAGAAAACCCUUUUAUGAGCUCCAAGGGUUUCCUUCUGUCCAUGGCAUUUUGCAACUGUUGGGUAAGCUGCACAUCAAACUAACUCUUGCCCGUCUUUGAGCACACCUCUGCAAUACAGAUAUUUCCAGAGGUGCUUGUAAGGACUGAGCAGAUUAUGAACACCAUACUGAAACUUAUAAAGUGAUCACCAAAAAAUGAAAUGUUGAUAAAAGCUUGGGACCAUUUCUUUUUCUUAUUAGGGUGAUUACUGUUGAUGCUUAAUGAGUCCGUUUGACUGGUAGUGAUAUAGCUUUUCUUAUUCGUGUAACAUGAAACAAGUUUUUAUUCAAGAGAGAAGAGUUUGUCCAGGAGCUUGCUGCUCUAUCCAAUCCUUCUGUCUUUAUCAGGAAGUUUCAUUCAGCUAUGAGCGUGACUUCAAAUAUGACUUGGAAUAUUAAUUACAUGCUUCAUUAACGGUGAGGUAGGAAAGAUUACGUUAAAGAAGCAUCUUUUUUGUGGUGUAUAUACAAAAAAGCUUUUAAUAUCAGUCAAUAGCUAUUGGUAUUUAUGACAUUUGGUAAUAUAAUGAUAUCACUGUGUUUUGUUAUGUCUGUGUAUUUAACAUUUAAAUUUUUUGAGCGGCCCGCACUUUCUGACUGUAAACAAAGCCAUUCUCUGCCUCCCCUAACCUGAUUGGUUGUGAGGCAGACGCUGCUGCCCCGUGUCGUUCACAAGCCCAAACAAAGUUAGCAUGCUACAAUAUCAGACAGUAGAAACCAACAAAAAAGUAUGGAAAAUUGUCUGAAUCCUCCUUUGGUCGCGACUGCCGACACAAGCAAGAAAACGAAAUAAAUACCGGAGACAGAGGUAGACUGGACAAGAGCCAAGAAGCCAAGAAGCCAGGUCAACAUCAGCAUAAACAAUGGGGGAGGCUUCGGGAUCUUUCUGCUGGACAGGUAAACCACUUUAACAAAGUAAACCAAGUGUCUGUAACAGAAGUGUUUCUUGUCAGUCAGGACCUGCUGCGUGUUGUGGCUCCGCUAAACUGUUUACCUCGGGUCCUGGAAUAUGUCACUUUAUGCUAGUUGUAGAAGUCCUGCAAACAUUGUUUUUGCUGGUAGUCUGUUGGCAUCUACAGUAGCACCAAUGCUUUUUACUUUCACGUUGACUGGGCCCCAUUUGUAAUUAUUAGAAGUAUUUAUCUGCAUUAUAUCUGAAUUUAAUUGAAACAAUACGAGUGAGCAGGAGCGUCUGUUUGUGGGCGGGGCUUGCUGGAGCAGGGAGGGAGGGGAGAGGACGAGCUGAGGGGAAAACUGGUUGGGAGGGGUUGAGUUUACAUUCAAGAUUUCUCCCAAAAACUGGCCCUUCCUCAGAUCCUGCCUACCCCACCUUUAAUACGGGCCUACUGCAAAAGCCCUAAUUCAAACAUAUUCAUGAGGAAGAAGGUAAAUUAAAAAAAACAAUAACAAAAAACAACUGUAACGGGAAAUGGUUACUGAGGACUGAAAAAUCUGUAAAACAUUUGGUCCAGGAAUUAUAGACUAUAAGUAGAAAACAUGAAUGAGAGAAGCCAUGUUUGUAAACUAGCCAAGGCAACUAAUGACACCAUUGAGCUGCUAUUCAGUAAGAGGUUUUGGCCCCAUUUAUAAUGAGAUUUUCACCAAAGAAAUACGAAGGCUGGAUCAUUUCAUGCCUAUUUUCCUGACAACUCUGAUAUGAAACAACACAUUUGGGCACCCAGCCUCUUUUGACCCAGACAGACCAACAGUAAUCCCUGAGAUCAAACAUGCCGCUUAUUGUUGACGCACUGCUGCACUUUUCUGAUUUUAAAGCACUGAAGGUCAUUAUGAGUCACCAAACACCAACAAAACACAAAGGCAUCGUGUCUGCUUUAUCAAAAAAACACAGAACACAAGACUUUCCUCCCUCUGGCUGCCAACAAAGAGAAACUUGGGAGUUUUUAGCAGGAGAUUCUUUUGUCUGUAUCAGAGACUAUCUUGGUGUUCUUGUGCUCCCCCACAGUGCUCAGAGUCCCUGUGCUCGGAUUUCUGUUGUGUUUCAUUUAUAUCUUUUAAAGUGAAGGAAAGUUAGAGCAAUCGAUGCACUGAUCUCUAAAAGAUAUGCAGGUCUGACAGACUGCCCUUGCUGAGGAAGAAAUCAAGAGUAAAAGCAUGAAAAUUAGGGUAAACUUGCAGACAGAUGGGAGUCUGUAUGAAUAUAUCAGGGGCACAGCUUACAUUUUUCUCCCUGUGUAUUCCCCAGUGUUAAACUAUAUUUUGAAGGCAUGUCUUUAUGCCUCUGUCUAUGCUUUUGCCAUAGACAGAGGUCGCAAUGAGUCAUGCAUGUAUUGAUAAAACGGCUGAUAUUCAUCACAAUAAAAGUCCGAGACAAUGACUAUAAAAGUCACAGGAGUCAAGUUCUUUCUGACCAAACAAGAACAGUCAAUUAUAUUUCUGCAGCCUUGAAUUACAACUUAACUUUUAAAAGCUGCACACUUCAGAGAGCAUUUCAGAACAGGGAACUGUGCAGUUGUGCAAUUAUACUUAUACAUUAACACAAAAAAGCUUGUUGGUGUGCAAUCAGAGGCCAAUGAACUCACUGACUUUGUUUAAAUACUCAAAUUUUUCCUAUUACCUAAUAGGUAUUAAAAACACGUCUCAUGAGUACAGUAACACUUUGCUGUUUCCACACUGAGCCGUGAAGUGAUCAGCUACACUUUUCAGGAAAGUAAGUCUGACAUUUUGUGAAGUAAGCCUUCUGAUAGAGCACUCCCUGAGCUGCCUGCUGUGGGAUUUAAGAAGCUUUAAACUAAUACCCUGUCAUACAUUUCCCACGUCCCACCAAGUUUUCUGUAGGGUAUCCUUAUAUAACACCCACCAUUUUAUAACGUUUACUUUUGUUUCCUAAGAGGUUUCCAUACAUCAGCUUCUUACCAUGUUGACUCUACAGGUCAUCUUGACCUCUUCCUUGUACUUUGUAUUUUCAGAGAGUUCAGACCUCAUGUGCAGGUCGUAAAUGUUUGGAGUGCUGCCUUGAGACAUCAGUUUGGUUGAGUGUGCGAUAAAUCUGAUGGUUAACUCUGACUGGUCUUUGCUCUGUCUAUUAGGUGCUGGAGAAGUGUAAAUGUCUGGUUCAGAGGCUGAUACUCACUAACUAGAAAUAGACCGGAUAGAAAAGAGCGGAGUGGAGAAACAAGAAAAAUGCAGAUUAGGGCUGGGCGAUAUGGGAAAAGGUUUAUCACGAUAUAUUUUUUUCAUAUCAGUGGAUAUAAAAAAUGAAAUUUAACAGCAUUUAUUGGUAGCAUGUUUUUGCAAUACAAUAAGCUACUGCAUCUGUGAGGUCUUUGUGUCUCUUUGACGUUUUGUUGGAAGACAUUGCGCUAGAGAAAGUGGACUGAAUGGUCAGCUGUUUUGGCUGCACAGGCGCUAUGGGCUCCUUUCUUUGCUUGGGGUUUGUAACCUUUUGCGUUGUGCGUGCUCUGCCGCAUGGUACUGCUUCAGGUGGUGAAAAAGAUUUGGGGUAUUCCCCGAAUUUACAAGAACAUAUACUUGACAUAAUUUUUAGUGCACAUUACUCUGCUUCAUGUCUGACCACAAAAAAACAAAAUACCUCACAGGCUUUACCUGUAAAAGUGCUAUGGUUGUGUGUAGCUGCAGUCUGCAACUACGCAGUUGUUAUCUACUUGGUUCUAAUUCAACAUGAUUGGUUCAGCCUGACACUGACCUGAAGCAACUCCCCUUUUCAUUGGCUAUUCUUAUAGUCUACCAAAACAUGGCAGAAUGAAGACUAUUGAAAAGCUUGUUGACCAUGUUUUAUAUUGAUAUUGAGGGUAAUUAAUUUUUGAUAUACACUGUUAUCAUUUUAUCGCACAGCCCUAUUGCAGAUAUAUGUACUGUACUCUUGACUUAGUGGGUGGGGGUUCAAGAACUUAAAUGCAGACUUAAAACACUACAGCUCAGCUGGAAAGUGAACUCAUCCCAGGUGACACUUUGAAUAGAUGUUUCUUUAUAUUGCACAAUAUUGGAGCUGAUUAGUGUAUGUUUAUGUGUAUUUGAGCUGUAUAUAGAAGUCAGAAUUGGUUGAGAACUGCAAGGUGUAGAUAUAUGCAGACUGAUCAUGGUUGGGGUUCAAAAAAUUUAAUCCCCAAGAAGAAAAAACAAAGUCUUCUGGUAAAAACAGGAGAGCACUGAGACAACUCACACAAAGCUGAAGGGUUUUUAAAAGGUGAAAACACAGGAGAGCCACAAUGAAACAUAUUCACACAAGAAAUGAACAUGCAAAGAAACAGAGGAUGAAAAAGACCAUGCAUGGAGUAAUCAAGGACAGGUGGGAUUCAUGAGAGAGAGGUGAAACUAAAAAGGGCAGGACACACAAUAACAAAGGCAAAGUCACAAAGGAAGUAAAGUAACAUGAGAUACACAAAGUGACAAAAGUGAUAAACACAAAAGAACAACUGAAUAUAAGUAUCUCAAGGUCCUCUACAUAAUGUACCAUGCAAAUGAUUUAUUUGACUUUGUAGUCACAUGAUCUCUUCCCAAUACCCAUGGGAAGGUUUGAGAAAAUCCAUGCUAAUCAGCGCUGAAGGCAUCCAGGGUGAAAGCACUAAGAUGGGUCAUAAGACGAGGAUCAAAUGACUCCCUGGGGACACUUGCACAUAUAAAAGUUGAGCUCUACAUGGUGCGUACUUAAGACUAAGGAUACCCUGUACAGACUUCACUGUCUUCAGACGCAAAAUGAUAAAAUAGGGAGCCUGGGUAAUAGAGGAACUCGCUUUGAAAGGAUGAUCAAGCCGGAGGAAUGGUAGACAGGGUGAUGAAAAACUGGAACAAGGCGCAGUGGUUGUUUCAAUCACAUAGUUUAUGUAUUUUGUAUUGUUACUAUAGUGAAUAUGGCUUCCUGAAUUACCAAAAUGGGUGCCAGUUUUUAAUUUAUCAGACCACAGGAAAGUUUUGCCCUUCGCCCCAGUCCAACUUGGCUGAGGCUCGGAGAAGUUCUCAGCGUUUCAUAUACCAUCAUGUUGGUAUAUGGUGUGUAUGGUUUCUGCAGGGUAGUUUUAACCCAAGUACAUGUUCUCACAUGUACGUCGCUUUGGAUAAAAGUGUCUGCUAAAUGAUAAGUGUUUUUGGAUGCAGCGACAAACUGUAUUCACAGGUUGUGGUUUUUGGAUCGGAUUUUGAGCCAAUGCAGUGAGUUCCCUAACAAAGUCACAUGUAUUUUUUUAUCCAUGACUAUUUUCUUCAAAUCUUCAUAAGAUAUUUCUUUCUGUACUUUGCAAUUUUACACUGAGGAGCGGAUUCUAAAACUACUGAACUAUUUUCUCACUCAGCCUCUCACAGUGUUGAAUAUCUUCCCUUUUUUUCCUUCUAAUGCUGCGUUCCAGUUGUACUUCGAAGUCGGAAUUUCCAAGGUCCGAGUCGGAAAUUCAUCUGGAACGCCCCCCUGAAGUUUGAUUUUCGACUCGGAAAGUCAGACGAUGCUCACCAAACCUGACUUGACGACAACGUCACAUGUCAUAUGGCAGCGCAGUGCAUCACCAGUUAAGAGUAACAAUGAAAACUCUCAUAAUGUAUUAUUUAUUAGCACUUCUGUUUUGUUUUUGUGAAAUUAAAUAAGUGGUAUUUGUUGUUCUGCCCAACGUUUAACUGUGAACACGGUGCUAUGGUGUUUGUAAGAGUAAAAUACUGUGUUUUGGAUUGUUUACAACUGGUACCGCUAACAACAACUAACAACCGCUGACAACGGCUAACGGCCGCUGACAAUUGUAAACAACAGCAAACAACAGGUAACUCUAGGCGUCCAUCUUGGUUUUCCGACUUGUUAACUGGAAUGCAGUCAUCUCGGGUGUAACGUCAUUCCCAGCUCCGACAUCUGACUUCCGAGGUAACUUGAAUGCAGCAUAAGAGACUCAGCCCCCCUGUUAUGCCCUUUUUAUAUCCACAUGUUGCUAAGUAGUUGCAUAUUAACCUUGUGAAUCGGGAGAUGUUCCUA